AAGGCCCUUCGGGGUACACGAGCGGCGAACGGGUGAGUAACACGUGAGCAACCUGCCCCUGACUCCGGGAUAAGCGGUGGAAACGCCGUCUAAUACCGGAUACGACCCGCCACCUCAUGGUGGAGGGUGGAAAGUUUUAUCGGUCAGGGAUGGGCUCGCGGCCUAUCAGCUUGUUGGUGGGGUAACGGCCUACCAAGGCGAUUACGGGUAGCCGGCCUGAGAGGGCGACCGGCCACACUGGGACUGAGACACGGCCCAGACUCCUGCGGGAGGCAGCAGUGGGGAAUAUUGCACAAUGGGCGAAAGCCUGAUGCAGCGACGCCGCGUGGGGGAUGACGGCCUUCGGGUUGUAAACCUCUUUUACCACCAACGCAGGCUCCACGUUCUCGUGGGGUUGACGGUAGGUGGGGAAUAAGGACCGGCUAACUACGUGCCAGCAGCCGCGGUAAUACGUAGGGUCCGAGCGUUGUCCGGAAUUAUUGGGCGUAAAGAGCUCGUAGGCGGCAUGUCGCGUCUGCUGUGAAAGACCGGGGCUUAACUCCGGUUCUGCAGUGGAUACGGGCAUGCUAGAGGUAGGUAGGGGAAACUGGAAUUCCUGGUGUAGCGGUGAAAUGCGCAGAUAUCAGGAGGAACACCGGUGGCGAAGGCGGGUUUCUGGGCCUUACCUGACGCUGAGGAGCGAAAGCAUGGGGAGCGAACAGGAUUAGAUACCCUGGUAGUCCAUGCCGUAAACGUUGGGCGCUAGGUGUGGGGACUUUCCACGGUUUCCGCGCCGUAGCUAACGCAUUAAGCGCCCCGCCUGGGGAGUACGGCCGCAAGGCUAAAACUCAAAGGAAUUGACGGGGGCCCGCACAAGCGGCGGAGCAUGUUGCUUAAUUCGACGCAACGCGAAGAACCUUACCAAGGUUUGACAUCACCCGUGGACCUGUAGAGAUACAGGGUCAUUUAGUUGGUGGGUGACAGGUGGUGCAUGGCUGUCGUCAGCUCGUGUCGUGAGAUGUUGGGUUAAGUCCCGCAACGAGCGCAACCCUUGUUCCAUGUUGCCAGCACGUAAUGGUGGGGACUCAUGGGAGACUGCCGGGGUCAACUCGGAGGAAGGUGGGGACGACGUCAAGUCAUCAUGCCCCUUAUGUCUUGGGCUGCAAACAUGCUACAAUGGCCGGUACAAUGGGCGUGCGAUACCGUAAGGUGGAGCGAAUCCCUUAAAGCCGGUCUCAGUUCGGAUUGGGGUCUGCAACUCGACCCCAUGAAGGUGGAGUCGCUAGUAAUCGCGGAUCAGCAACGCCGCGGUGAAUACGUUCCCGGGCCUUGUACACACCGCCCGUCACGUCAUGAAAGUCGGCAACACCCGAAACUUGUGGCCUAACCC
rnacentral:rRNA from 2 species